UUUGGAAAUGAAAGUCACUUCUGUUUGACUUCUGUUUGCAUUAUCAAAGAGACAACGGUCACAGAGGAGUGCUGUCAUGUGACUGAGCGAGGACUGCAGGAAUUUAUACAUCUGAGCGGAACGACGCGCAGGAACGUCACGAACCGCUGCCUUACACUGCCUAAACGUGUACACAUGAUGGACGUGCACGAGCUGGAAAUGUAACGCCGGCGUUCAGAAAACAUUUGAGUUGGGAAACGUGGUUUAAGAGAAGACGAUCGUGUCCUUCAGUCAACGGUGGCGGUUGGAUUUGUUUCAGGUGAGAAGUGUUGUAAAAAACAAAUGUCCUAAACUGGACAACCUGCAUUGAUUACAUAACCUUACACCUUUGACAAACAUCGUGCACUACAUAACUGUGUUGUACUGGAGUGCAUUUCUAAGCGACCGUUGGCUGUCGACUGUUUGUUCAACAGCACAUUUAUAACAGAGAAGAGCACAGGCUGCUGCUACUGCUGCUGCUGCAACUCAGCUUUUUUUGGUUCUGUUUUUUUCUUUCUGCCCUGCAACCUGUAACUGAGCAGCACUUGUUUACACAUCAUCUUUCCAUGGCUACAAAUGUCCACUCAACUGCUCAUUCAAGUCGACUGUGAAGAGUGAAGACUCAUAAUCUCUGACCUGACCUACGCUACAGCAGCUGAGCUCAGGAGCAAAACAUAAAAAAAAAAUUAAAAAAAAGUUAAUGAUUCACCAGUUAUUUUUUACAGCAAACUGAGAAUGUAAUGAAAAAAAAAAAAAAAAAAAAAAAAAAAGCACAUACCUUUGUGUGCUUACUGCAGAGAAGCCACCGCAGACAUGGUAGUGCAAUUCUGAACUCUGCUGUCAGGAGCGACCCGGGGCU